rnacentral:rRNA from 1 species
GGAUUAGAUACCCUGGUAGUCCACGCAGUAAACGUUGUUCACUAGGUGUAGCGGGUAUUGACCCCUGCUGUGCCGCAGUUAACGCAUUAAGUGAACCGCCUGGGGAGUACGGUCGCAAGACUAAAACUCAAAGAAAUUGACGGGGGCCCGCACAAGCGGUGGAGCAUGUGGUUUAAUUCGACGCAACGCGCAGAACCUUACCUGGGCUUGACAUCCUGAGAAUCUCUAUGAAAAUAGAGAGUGCCCUUCGGGGAAUUCAGUGACAGGUGCUGCAUGGCUGUCGUCAGCUCGUGCCG